GGGGAUAUAGCUCAGGGGUACAGCACAUGCCUGGCAAGCAUGAGAUAGUUCGAUUCCUGGUACCA
rnacentral:tRNA from 1 species